CCUACGGGAGGCAGCAGUGAGGAAUAUUGGUCAAUGGGCGAGAGCCUGAACCAGCCAAGUCGCGUGAAGGAUGACGGCCCUACGGGUUGUAAACUUCUUUUGUCAGGGAGCAAUUGGGUCCACGCGUGGGCUUAGCGAGAGUACCUGAAGAAAAAGCAUCGGCUAACUCCGUGCCAGCAGCCGCGGUAAUACGGAGGAUGCGAGCGUUGUCCGGAAUCAUUGGGCGUAAAGAGUUCGUAGGCGGUAUGUUAAGUCUGGUGUUAAAUGCAGAAGCUCAACUUCUGUUCGGCACUGGAUACUGGCAAACUAGAAUGCGGUAGAGGUAAAGGGAAUUCCUGGUGUAGCGGUGAAAUGCUUAGAUAUCAGGAGGAACAUCGGUGGCGUAAGCGCUUUACUGGGCCGUAAUUGACGCUGAGGAACGAAAGCCAGGGUAGCAAAUGGGAUUAGAUACCCGAGUAGUC
rnacentral:rRNA from 1 species